rnacentral:rRNA from 1 species
UACGUAGGGUGCGAGCGUUGUCCGGAAUUAUUGGGCGUAAAGGGCUCGUAGGCGGUUUGUCGCGUCGGGCGUGAAAACCCCGGGCUUAACUCGGUGCUUGCUUUCGAUACGGGCAGACUAGAGGUAUGCAGGGGAGAACGGAAUUCCUGGUGUAGCGGUGAAAUGCGCAGAUAUCAGGAGGAACACCGGUGGCGAAGGCGGUUCUCUGGGCAUUACCUGACGCUGAGGAGCGAAAGUGUGGGGAGCGAACAGG